rnacentral:rRNA from 1 species
GAUGAACGCUGGCGGCGUGCCUAAUACAUGCAAGUCGAGCGAACAGACGAGGAGCUUGCUCCUCUGACGUUAGCGGCGGACGGGUGAGUAACACGUGGAUAACCUACCUAUAAGACUGGUAUAACUUCGGGAAACCGGAGCUAAUACCGGAUAAUAUAUUGAACCGCAUGGUUCAAUAGUGAAAGACGGUUUUGCUGUCACUUAUAGAUGGUUCCGCGCUGCAUUAGCUAGUUGGUAAGGUAACGGCUUACCAAGGCAACGAUGCGUAGCCGACCUGAGAGGGUGAUCGGCCACACUGGAACUGAGACACGGUCCAGACUCCUACGGGAGGCAGCAGUAGGGAAUCUUCCGCAAUGGGCGAAAGCAUGACGGAGCAACGCCGCGUGAGUGAUGAAGGUCUUCGGAUCGUAAAACUCUGUUAUUAGGGAAGAACAAAUGUGUAAGUAACUGUGCACGUCUUGACGGUACCUAAUCAGAAAGCCACGGCUAACUACGUG